rnacentral:tRNA from 1 species
GCCGAAGUGGUGGAAUGGCAGACGCGCUGCGUUCAGGGCGCAGUGGGUGAAAACCCGUGUGGGUUCAAGUCCCACCUUCGGCACCA